GACUGGAAAUGUCUCUUGACACUCUGGAGGCCCUGGUCAGUUGAGCGAGGCCAUGCUAGUAGCCUUCUGUGUCUCUGCUUCAUCUCACAGCUUUCUUGUGAAGUAAGUCGGGGCUUCUUAACCCACCUCACAGAAGGGAAACUGAGGCUACAGAAGAGAUGUGACUACCAUGCAACCACCUAAAAUGACAGUAGGUAGUACAAUGCAGUCCCUUUGUGGAGAGCAAGUGGAAGGCAGAGUAAACAUUUUCAUUCUUCCCACGCCUGGAUCUGCUGUGCCUGCCUCAUCAGUGACAACCAGAGGCAGGUAUCAUCACUAAGUAGCCUAGCAUGGUGUGGAUUUUGACAACUAGAAAAAGG